GCAGGUUGAAGGUUGGGUAACACUAACUGGAGGACCGAACCGACUAAUGUUGAAAAAUUAGCGGAUGACUUGUGGCUGGGGGUGAAAGGCCAAUCAAACCGGGAGAUAGCUGGUUCUCCCCGAAAGCUAUUUAGGUAGCGCCUCGUGAAUUCAUCUUCGGGGGUAGAGCACUGUUUCGGCUAGGGGGUCAUCCCGACUUACCAACCCGAUGCAAACUACGAAUACCGAAGAAUGUUAUCACGGGAGACACACGGCGGGUGCUAACGUCCGUCGUGAAGAGGGAAACAACCCAGACCGCCAGCUAAGGUCCCAAAGUCAUGGUUAAGUGGGAAACGAUGUGGGAAGGCACAGACAGCCAGGAUGUUGGCUUAGAAGCAGCCAUCAUUUAAAGAAAGCGUAAUAGCUCACUGGUCGAGUCGGCCUGCGCGGAAGAUGUAACGGGGCUAAACCAUGCACCGAAGCUGCGGCAGCGACACUAUGUGUUGUUGGGUAGGGGAGCGUUCUGUAAGCCUGCGAAGGUGUGCUGUGAGGCAUGCUGGAGGUAUCAGAAGUGCGAAUGCUGACAUAAGUAACGAUAAAGCGGGUGAAAAGCCCGCUCGCCGGAAGACCAAGGGUUCCUGUCCAACGUUAAUCGGGGCAGGGUGAGUCGACCCCUAAGGCGAGGCCGAAAGGCGUAGUCGAUGGGAAACAGGUUAAUAUUCCUGUACUUGGUGUUACUGCGAAGGGGGGACGGAGAAGGCUAUGUUAGCCGGGCGACGGUUGUC
rnacentral:rRNA from 1 species